CCAGUAUCAAUAAAAAUACAAUUAGUAUCAGGACUUCCCUUUAACUAAGGAGUCAAAGACAAAUGGUAACAAGCAUUGGUUUCAAAAGGAAAGGAAUCAAUUAACUGUUGUAUUUACCCUAGUGAAAGUAGCAAAGCACAUAAUAUGCAAUAUGGACUAGAUACAUGGUAAAACAAUUAAGGAAAAUAUACUGAAGAUUUUGAAUACUUGUUUAUGCACAAAUAUGGUAAGGAAAUACAAGCCAAUUAGUCAAAGAAUCUCGGACAAGACCAAAAUCAGAGGGAAUUGUUUCUAAGUAAGGAAAACAUACCCAAAUAAAGAAGUAAUUUCAGAAGAAAUCUGUGAAAUGUCUAAGGAAAAUCACAUACCAAAUCAGAGAUUCAUAGAGAUGUAUAAGAUCAGUAGAAUAUUGCACAAGCAAUGAACAUAAAUAAAAUGUCUAAGUAAAAUAACAUACAAAUCAGAGAUUCACAAAGAUGUACAAGAUCAGUAGAAUACUGCACGAACAAUGAACAUUUAGGCCAAUAAAGCAUAUUAGACAUGGAGUUCUGAGAACCCUAAGCAAGUAGACAUGGAAGCAACAAAGGGUCGGAACCCUAGCAAAAAAAUUAAAGCACGGAACUCAAAUUAACAAGGAAACCAAAAAACUCGCAACACAGACAAACACAAAAAAACACAUAAUACUCCAGAAAAUUAGAAGAAGCAAUUUUGACAAAGAGGUCAGAAACCCUAAUUUUGCAAAAGAGAAAAAUCAUCGGAAAACUUGAGAUAAUCAAAGAUAUUGAGUGAAUAUUAGAGUAGAAAACAAAGAAUCAAACUAAAAACCAUAUUAAAAGAACAAAAGUUAAAGAUAUUUGAGUAGAAAAAUUAGGGUUUGUAGAUGAGUUAAAGAAAGGAGGAACAUGGCCAUGAAACUCAUCAAUAACGCCAUAGAGAGCAUUAUCGUGUAAAAACCACCGGAGAAAGGCCGGCACAGCCUCAGACAAGCUUCAAUCGGCCGUCUUUCAUGGAGGAAGCUUCUGGACUUUGAGUUUGAGAGAGAAAUAGUGAGAUAAGGUACCGUGGUGAAUGGUGGUCGAGAAGAAUGAGGGUGGAGGUGGCCAGAAAGGCGAUGAAAGCCAAUGGAGAAGAGAGAGAGUCAGAAGAUACUAGAGAGAACUCAGAGAUGAAGGGUUAGAGACA
rnacentral:lncRNA from 1 species